UAUCAUUUGGUAAAUUAAUCACUUACAAAAUUCUGUAUAAAGCAAAAUCUAGAGCGAAAGGGUUAACGACAUACUCAGCGAUCCGGAAAGGAUUGAAAAAUGUGACAUAUCGAAAGAAAGAACAUUGCUGUGGUGGUUACAACUAAGGGAACAGGUGUCAUAUCGUGUGAACAUUGGUCAUCUAAACCUAAAUUCUAAGUCUAGUACAUCUAAAAAACAUAUAAUCACUACGCAUUCACAAGUGUGACAUGUUGUAAUUGUUGUUUCGCAAUGUUGGUAGAGUCGUCGUGUUCCUUGGCUGGGUAAAGAGUACGAAGAUAGUUGUGUAUAGAGUUAUGAAUAUUUAUACGUAGAGGGAUUUCUGCUUAUCUUUCGUAGAUCUGGCGUAUUAAAACGAUGAUCUCUAACCGUGCUCGUCUCAUCGCAAAGCCUUGACCUUUCUUCACAGAAUAAUCAACAAAAGAUUAUUCAACCAUCCUCUUCGCUAAUAUCGCCGAUGGGAGUAAAUGAGAAUGGAUUCAGGCGAAAAAUUGCAGUUUUUUCUGGUUUGUUUGAUUAGAGAGUGGAAGACAGCGUGAAACACUGCAUGUUUAUGCAGAUAAACCGCUAAGAAAUGUCGCGGACGAAAUAAUUUGUCUACGAGAAAUAUUUAUACUUUUAGGAACGAAUUGACUGAACAUCGAUGGAACGGUAUAUUAUAAUUUCUAGUUUGUUUUUGUUUUAUACAAUUUGGCAAUUCCUUCACAUGGAAAGAUUCUGAUUGUUUAACGGCAGACUUGAAUUUCUUUCAGACGGAUUUUAUGGUAAAAAAAUUACGUUCUCGCAAUUGUUUAAAGCGCUCAUUGUUUAAGUUUAAACUAAACAUAGAAAACAUUCAUCGGACUUUUAAAAGGUUUCUAACAAUUCCAGACAGCUUCUUUUUUUAUACCUUAGAAACUGAUAGCUGAAGAAGAAUCAUUACUAUUUUAAACACAAUUAAAAAAAAAAAAAAAAAGAAAAACAGUUGAUAGAGGAGAUAACAAUCUUUUACUGAUUUGUUCAUGGAACAAUAAUACCUGGUUGCUCCUUUUAAUGCUAAAAGUGCAAUCGAACGUGACAAAUUUGCAAAGUUGUUAAUAGAAGAAAAAAGAAGACUCGAUUACGAUGUGUCACGUGUUAUUAUCGUUCUAUUCGUUAAUCCAGAUGCGUACGCGUUGAAUCACAUUUGCGCACCUGCCUUGAACGAUAACAAUUUCGCGCAAUCGUCUCGCAGGAUUACACCAGCGUUGUUGCUCUGUCAGAGCUUUGCAUCUCAUCCAUUAAUAUUAUAGAAUUUACAUAACUCAUUUGUGGACGAACUGGAACCUGCAGUCGAUGGGUAGAUUAACGGGGAUUUUCCUAUCGGGAUACCUUAUAGAAUUUCUACGUGACAAUAUAACAAAGUAAUUUUCUUGUCUGAGAUUAUUUUUCAGUGAACAGUUUUACGUUUUUCUUUUUCGGGAAGAAUAUAGAAGACUGGAGUUGUACGAAGUUUAUAAGGAAGAAAAAAUAUCUUAAAAAUAUGCAUAGAUUAGACUAAUUCAAGGAUAUAAGGAUUUAAGAAUUCAAGGAUUCAAGCAGAGUUUGCGAACUCAAGAAUUCGAAGAUUCAAUAAUCCGAGGGUUCAACAAAUAAUUCACCUAUUUAAUUGUUCAAAGAUUCAAGCAUUCUAGCAUUCAAGAAUUCGAAGAUUCGAAGGUUCAAGAAUUCGAGGGUUCAAAGGUUCAAGGAUUCAAGUAUUCAAGAAUUCAAAACUAUAAUAAUUCAAUUAUUCAAUGGUUCAAGAAUUGAAAGAUUCGAGAAUUCAAGGGUUUAACGAUAAAGCAUUGAAAGGUUAUUCAAGUGGAAAUAUUUGUAAAGUAUUUCCCUAUAACGACAAUUAUAUCCUCUUGAAAUUUGUACAUUUUUCAUCACUUAAUCAUUUGAUUCACACGUAGAAUCGAAGAUUACAUAUUUAAAUAGAGAUAAAAUUAUAUAUAUAGAUACUCAGGUGAAAAUUAACCCCUUGAUAAUAUAUCAGAGCAAUUUCGAUAAACGCGUACCGAUUUGACACAGUAAUUUUGUAAAGCGAUAAGAUGACAGUAAAUAUGCUUGUAACACGCAUUGGUGAAAAUAACAUAACGUCUGAUUAGCCAAAGGUUACUACGCAAUAACAUGCGAUAAAAAAGACGCGUCCGUUUCUACGUCAAUUUAGCAUUCGUAGAAUUUCAUCUUGUUUAUCGCAAUAAGCUUAAUUGUAAUUAAUUCUAAAACCGAUUUCACAGUGUUAUUUUAUUAUGUGAUUGCGUGUGCGACGUGCAGAAAAAAGGCGUCGCAGAAAAACGUAUUACUAGUGACUUGAAUUUACGUGUGAGGAUGUGGCGUGUAUUACGUUUUAGUGAAUAAAAAGCAAGAGUUCAUAUUACGUACGUAAUUAGUACGAUACUUAAGGUGGUAUUACGAUCUUAACAGCAAAUACACGAAGUUCUUCCAAUUACUCGGAUUAUUAUUUCCAUUUCGCUUCGUACUACUCUUUGAUAUAUCAUUACUAAAUAUUUUUAAUUCUCUAACGCAAUUCCAUAAUGAUUGUUAACAACGUGUAUAUCAGGUGAUAUAUUCUCGUGUAAUGUAAUAAACAAUUGAUCAAUGAUUCAGUUGGUAUCGAUUACAUGAAGGAGAAAAACGAUACGCAAGGUACCAAACAAGACGUGGUUCACCCUGUUUUUAACGCGAUACGCAUCAAUUGAGCCGAGGCCGUAGCAAUUAACGCGCUUCUCGUCGCCUAUCAAGGAGCCAACCUCGAGAAAAACGCACUUGAACCAAUUUACGACGUGAGAAAACGCGACAGGGUGCAUUUCCCAUCGAUUCGAUCGACAAAUUCUAAAAUGUCGUCAAGGGAUAAUAAUUUAAUUAACAACACGAACGAAAGCAAUCUGUCUGCGAGGAUCAGCUCUUCUUCUCUUUCCUUCGGAAUAAAUAGCAGAUAAACCAGAACACAGAGUAAAAUGAGCGAAAGAGUAAAUUUAUUCCUUGCUUCUUACCUUAUUUACAUCUAUCUGUUUACUUGUAACAGAAGUAGUACAAAAGUAAUAUGACUCACGUGAAAUUAUUCUUUUAGUCUAUUCUUGAAACUGGCAAUUAUUUCUUCUGUAUGUUUUUCGAAACGGCAAAUACAGUAAAUUGAAAUACAGACGUUGAAAGGAAGGUUUCUUAUAUCCAUCUGAUAUCCCGAGACGAGUCAAUAAAGGAAGCGAGCAUGGAAUGAUGACACUGAAAGGUUGAGGAAGAAAUUUCUAAACGUAAAGUAGGAUGAACUAGCAAUGCGAAUAUGGAAUAUAAUCGACAGGGAAGAGAGAACGGUUUGACUUGUUCGUUUACAUCAGUUUACAGAAUUGAUUUUCUCUGUCAUAGAAUAAAAAAUAUGAUCAAGGACAACGAAGCGCUUCGAACGUAUUGUGCUUGUGUGAUAAACACGUCCUCUGGCGUCGCGCAUACUUCUGUUUUGUUAGAAAAGCUUCCUUGACCCGUGACAUCAACUUUUAUCUUCGGGCGCGCGGAAAAAAUUAUCGACGUUUUAAUUGCGAGAAGGAUGAAAAAAGAAAAAAGGAAGAGAAGAAAAAAUAUUGAAGCUUUCGUUGGCAAUAAGAAGAAAAGGGCUACGGUCCAAUUAAAACACAAUCUUUCCUCGUAAACAAGCAACUUCAUGCUUCACCGUUCGUAGAUAAAACAGCCGCAUAUUGAAUUAUCGAUACAACGUACUCAAUCAUUUUUCUCGAUAAUAGUUCGUCUGUUUUUGACACUGGCCACAUGUUUUCCUAACUUGUUGUUUGAACUGUUGACUCAUCGAUAUUUUUCUUUCUUUGUUAUCAUGAACUUAUCGAUUUCGAUAGCCUUGGAAUUAAUUAGACUUUACUUUUUAGUUGGCGUAGUGUCGUCGUUAACGAUAGAUAAUUGACAAAACGGCACGCGAAUGGGUCGAGGCCUCUCCGCAAAAACCAGUUGGUCUGGAAACGAGUUCGUGAGAAUCGGAGAACAGUUAUGCACGACCGAUCUGAGGAAAAAUCGUGAAACGUCAACACCACUCGCUAUGCGUUCAAGAGACACCAUUAUAGUAUCGCGUUUCAGGAAAAGAUUCUUCUGGAUUAAAAAUAGACGUAAUAAAAAUUAAUGGAAAACGCACGUUUCGAUUCUAUGAGUAAGAGAGGAUUUUCUCAGAACGUUAAAAGUCUCUUUAUUGAAACGAGACUAAUAUAUAUAUAAUGUGAUAUAUAUAUAUCACAUUCUAAUGCAAUAUAUAACAUAAUAACAUGUUAUAUAUAUAUAUAUAUAUAUAUAUAUAUAUAUAUAGUAUCACAAGCUAUUAUGAUUAGUUUAUUAAUAAUAAAUGGAUUAAACAGAUGUUAAUUAAACAGAAAACAACGGUUAUUUAACACGAACCAAUAGCAACAGCGUAUUAUAAUUAAAACAACUAGAUAAUUAACAAUUCUCGUCAAUGCAAAUUCACCUCUCUCUUGACAACGCUAACAACAUUAUCUCGACAACACAAUUCGCACUCUUUGACUUCUCAACUCAUACCGCUGUUAAUUCGUUCAUUGCCUCCUAGCAACCCCUUGUCUUUUGUCUUAGCCUCACUACGCACAUGCUCACCAACCGCUUGUUUAUAAUUCACACCUCAGAAACCGCUUGUUUACAAUCCGCAUGACACCCCCCAGGCCCCUCGUCAACGAUACUACAUAUAUGUAUAAGAUAUAUAGUAUUACAUAAAGUGUACGUGAAAUAUUAUAAAAGAACUGCGAGUGGUAUAACUGAGUCAUUCGGAAUGCAUAAAUUGAAAAGUACAGAAAAGUGGACUAAAUUGCGGAUUCCUAUGCGUUUGCAGAAAAAUUCAAAAGCGCAAAAUUGCACAAAAUGUACGUAAUACGAGAAAGUAUAUAAAACAUUCAAAAUACAUUUCUUUUUGGAAUAUUCCAUAGGUGAAACAAUCUCUAAAAUUAUAUUUUCGGAAACGGGAAUUUACAUAAAAAUUCGCUGCCCAGUUAUGGCACUCAGAAUUUUUGUUAUUGAAAUUUACGACAUCUUUCUCGGAAUGAAUCAAGUCACUUGUUUCUUAAAUGAAUAUUAAUCGUUUAUCGCGUGAAUCAUAUGUAAUGAAAUUAUAUUAUUAUAUAUUUAAAAAAAAAGAAAAACCAGAAGGAACAAAAGGUGGAAUCGAUUGGUUUCGCUCGCGAAAGACCCGAUUAGAGACUACGAGCUGUAAAUAUACAGCGAUGUUCAAAUGCA